UGUAAAACCUGGUGCAGUUCUGUUUCGUGGCUAAGGAACGGGCGGAACCCAGACCUGCAGCGAAGGCAGUGGCCCCGUGGUUGACCACAAUGGGCAUUGUCGCAGGCUGCUUCAGGGUGACGUGGGCGUGUGACAGACUCCACAGCUCUCAGUAACUGUGCUCUGACCCCAGAAGGGGAUAUGUUUCCGUAGCACCGAAGUGUCCAGCCAUGUCUGAAUCUACCCUUGUGUUCUGGGAUGGGCGGGCAAGUGGACACGCAUGUGCGCCUGGCUUUGGUAGUUUUGAUUGUGAGAACAGAAACUCCAGGGAGAGGUGGACACUCCAGCCCGCAGUGGGCCGGGCGUGAGCUCCCUCUGGGAAAGGUGCCGCUCCUUCUGGGGAUGCCACUCUCUUCCCUCCUCGGCAGCCGCGGCUCCUCGUCCCUUUGGCUUGCCCUGACCCUGUGUUUGUUGAGGAUCUUCUCUGCAUCUGGUUCCCCAAGAGUGCGGACUGGGACAGGAGUCUUCCCGUCACAGCCCCAGAACGUCCUGGCUCCGCUUCCUUUGGAGACAGAGCCUGGGUCCUUGACCCUCGGCACGGGCACUCACUCCUGCCCGCUGCGUGCUGGUGGGUGGGGCUGGGAGGUUCAGGGCCUUGCCUCCCAGAAAAUGCCUGCACGGCUUCCUCAGUGGGCACUGGCCAUUCCUGGGAGGAUUGUGGAGGCAGACCCCAAUGCUGGUGUAUUCCCUGGACCGAAAACCCCAGGAUGGAAGAGCCCUACUGAUGUUUCAUUCUGUUCCUCUGAUUGUACAGAAAGGGCCGCUUUGGCCUAGACAGAUUUCUUUGCUUUGGCUUUUUCCCAGUCACUCACAGGGAGGUAUUUAAAUCGCCACAGAAAGGGGAAGGUACCUAAAAUGAUCUGGGAGCCUGCGGUGACCGGUGAGAACUAACAGGUCGAGGCCGUGUGCGAGGGUUGAUGACGUCUGACAGACUGUACCUGUGCCUGUAGCGUGUCCACAGGAAGAGCAUCUGCAUUCACCAGCACAGGGUGUGAGAGUGCUACAGAAAAGCAGGAAAAACAUUGCUGAAUAAAAUGAAGAUCGUUCCAACAAUAA